rnacentral:misc_RNA from 1 species
GUUUUGUAUAGAAAAUCCGGUUUGGUUUAUUUACACCGCUGUCACUACAAUGAAAGGGUGUAAUGGUAAACUCUCCAUGUACGAAAACGUCUGAUUGGAGUAAAUACAACAUCCGUUGUCCUAUCAAUCACACGAUUUAUAUUGCUCGGCACGUGAUUGAGGAUGGUUUUCACAGACUGAUCUUCCCAUCCCUCGAGUGUAGCGCCAAAGAUGGUUUUUACUGUGGUGUUGAACUACCAACUUCCAACACCAAUCUGAAAAGGUACCACAUUUUGGACUCAGCCGUACAUAUAUGCAAUGGACGAAAUGAGUGCACUCUGACCAAAAAAUAUUUUCUGGAGGCUGAAGCGGCUAUUAAGAAGUUUUGUAAUGCCUCACUACGAACCGAGCUACAGGAAGCAACUUUUCGACAGAGCAUUGAAUAUGAAUGCAUUCAAGAUUCUCGGAUCAUGGACAUGUGUUUGGAAGAUAUUGAGAACAGACAUUUUUACACAACUUAAUAAUAAGAAUACAAGAGGGAUCAAACAACGGCUUGGUUCUGAUGAAAGUUCUCAGUAAAGAAAAUAUCUCAGUUCAAUGUCAGAAAACGGAUGGGUCAGGGCAAAACAAAGAAUAUAGUACUACAGAAUUACAAAAAGUUAAUUCAGGUUUCAAUGGUCAAACUAUAGUAAACACCGCACCGGUCCUUACAACUGUGCAUACUGGGUUCAAUUUCAGCGAAGUUGCGACCAGACAGUUUUUCACGAGCAGUUUUUACACUGCGAAAAAUAUAGAGCUCAGAGACCUAGACGGGAUACUUAACUACGUGAAAUCCUGGAUGCAAAGUCUCAUAGUGAUUACAGCUGUCAUCGUUUUGCUGGUCACUUUCAUGCUUCUUUUUUCUAUAUUUAAGCAAAGAAAGGACAGAAAUUUGCUUUUGACAAUUCUACAGAAACUAGAUGAUAAAUGCUCUGACACAGUUAAACAAAACUCUAGAGCAGAUUUGAGUCAUCCAAGACUGUCAGAAGAUGAUAAGAUUUACCAACAGAUUUCCAGUCAGUUCCUCUGUCAUCCAAAUACGACACGAUUCACUAAUUUCGUGUACGAAACAGAGUGUAUGGUUUUGGAAAACGCUGGAGAUGACGUUCGAGGCAAUGUGAUGUCACUUGAAAGUAAUGGUUCACUGUCUAUGCCUGAAGACAGCAACCCAAAAGGAGUUUAUGAGCUACAAAAGAUUAUUUAAAUCAUGUUGAACAAUAUUUCAUUAUUUUAAUUGAAAAUAGAAAAAACAAUGACGGAUUUUUGCAACCAAGGUGUUGUCCCUACCUUUGAAAUAAACAUCUGAUAUCCACUACAAUUAACUAAACUCUGAAGUUUGUGAAAUAGUUCUUGCAUAUCGUUCUUUAAUUGUUGACAAUGAACUAUACAUGUCUUAAUUUGCAGAAAAAUCUGUUUUCAAUUUGAUCAUUAUGAAAUUGCUUAUCAAUGCCAUUUUUUCUUUAGUUUCUCGUUCCUUUCAAAAUGUAUGCAAAAUAAGAUCCGAUCCUCCCCCUUCCCGAUAGGACCCCAUGAAUUACUGUGAUUUGAAAAUUCUUGUAACUAAUUAGCACCUAUUUAUUUGAAGUAACAUUAAAAGAAUACUUUUAUAUAC